rnacentral:rRNA from 1 species
GCACUUGGAGAUGUAUAGCGAAAGCUAGCUGUAUUAACUUCGACUAGUUCGAAGUUAAUGCAGUAUCGACUAUGUCGAAUAAAGUUCUAGGUAGAUUUAUGAUAAUGACAUUUUCUAUCUAUCUGUCUUGACCAAGUCACGUGCCAGCAGUCGCGGUAAUACGUGGAAGACUAGUGUUAUUCAUCUUUAAUAGGUUUAAAGGGUACUUAGACGGUGUUUUUAGCCCAAAUAAAAAACAAAGGGUACUAAUUACACUAGAGUUUAAUGAGAGGGGGGAGUGUAGUAGCGGUGUAGAGAUGAAAUUCUGUCAUACCGCUGUGACAGGCAACGGCGAAAGCAACCUUUUAUGUAAAAACUGACGUUAAAGGACGAAGGCUUUGCGUCAUCAACAGGAUUAGAUACCCAAGCAGUCUUAGCAGACAAUUAUGAAUGCCGUAGAUAAGGAGAAAUAUCAUUUAUUAUUUAUAAAUGAUAAUAAAAUAUCAUUUAUUAUUAAAAAAAAUAAUUAAAUAUCAUUUAUUAUUUCUUUUCUUAUCUCCACCCGUAAGAGAUAAAAACAAAGGGAAAAGUAUAUUUUUUGUCUUCCCCCUUAUACCACAGGUAAGGAAAAAUAUUCUUUUUUUGAAAAUAAAUAAUAAGUUAGAUUUGUCUAUAAAUGAAAGUGUAAGCAUUUCACCUCAAGAGUAAUGUGGCAACGCAGAAACUGAAAUCAUUAGACCGUUUCUGAAACCAGUAGUGAAGUAUGUUGUUUAAUAUGAUGGUCCGCACAAAACCUUACCACAAUUUGUAUGUUAGAAGGUAGUACAAGAGUUGCACGGCUGUCUUCAGUUAAUAUCGUGAGAUUUUGGUUAGUUCCAUAAAAUUAACGUAAACCCUUACUUUAUUUAUAUUAUAAAGUAGUUCACCGCUAGAUUGGAUAUGAUANUAGGGACUAGGACAAGUCAUCAGG